AUAUGAGAUCGAGGCAAAAACAGGGGCGCGCCACCCUGUCCAGUUCUCAACCCGGCUGUGCUGUCUCGUCGCCUUCCUCCCCUCCUGCCGGCUGCUGCCGCCGCCAGCCGCUGCAGGCACGCUUGCCCUCUGCUCCCUGUCCAUCCACUCAUCAUUCCCCGUCAUCCACCAAUUCACAACCCAAAACCCUAAACCCAUUUACCUCAACGCCACCGCCGCCGCCGCGAUGCAGUCCAUGGCGCCCACCUCUCCCUCACUCCCGGUGGCAGGCCCCGUUCCCCGCCGCCGCCUCCAGCGCGUCCGCGCCGCCGCGGUCUCCGACGAGCCCAAACUCAACAAGUACAGCGCGCGCAUCACGGAGCCCAAGUCGCAGGGCGCCUCGCAGGCCGUGCUCUACGGGGUUGGCCUCACCGACGCCGACCUCCGCAAGCCGCAGGUCGGCGUCUCUUCGGUGUGGUACGAAGGGAACACCUGCAACAUGCACCUGCUCCGCCUCGCCGAGGCCGUCCGCGACGGCGUCCGUGAGGCCGGCAUGGUCGGCUUCCGAUUCAACACCGUCGGUGUCAGCGACGCCAUCUCCAUGGGCACCCGGGGCAUGUGCUACAGCCUCCAGUCCCGCGACCUCAUCGCCGACAGCAUCGAGACCGUCAUGGGCGCGCAACACUACGACGCCAACAUCUCCAUACCUGGGUGCGACAAGAACAUGCCAGGUACAAUAAUGGCAAUGGGACGGCUUAAUCGACCUAGUAUCAUGAUAUAUGGUGGAACUAUUAAGCCUGGUCACUUUCAGGGCAAUUCCUACGAUAUAGUUUCUGCUUUCCAGUGCUAUGGAGAAUAUGUUAGUGGUUCAAUCACUGAUGAGCAAAGAAAGAAUGUGCUCCGCAAUUCAUGUCCAGGGGCAGGUGCCUGUGGUGGUAUGUACACAGCAAACACUAUGGCAUCUGCUAUUGAGACAUUGGGCAUGAGCCUUCCAUACAGUUCUUCGACACCUGCUGAAGACCCGCUAAAGCUAGAAGAGUGCCGUCUUGCUGGGAAGUAUCUUCUAGAGUUGCUAAAGAUGGAUUUGAAGCCCAAGGACAUUAUAACUGAGAAGUCAUUGCGAAAUGCAAUGGUUAUCGUUAUGGCACUUGGUGGUUCGACUAAUGCUGUUCUGCAUUUGAUUGCCAUUGCUCGGUCCGUAGGUCUGCAUUUGACUCUUGAUGAUUUCCAGAAGGUUAGUGACCAAGUUCCUUUCCUUGCAGACCUCAAGCCCAGUGGCAAAUAUGUCAUGGAAGAUCUACAUAAGAUUGGUGGGACACCGGCAGUCAUUCAUUAUCUUCUGGAGCAAGGUCUUCUUGAUGGUGAUUGCAUGACUGUUACUGCAAAAACUCUAGCUGAGAAUGCCAAAAUUUUCCCUCCUUUGUCUGAAGGGCAGCAAAUAAUUCGACCACUUGACAAUCCUAUCAAACCAACUGGCCAUAUUCAAAUACUUUAUGGCAAUCUUGCACCAGAAGGUUCUGUAGCAAAAAUAACUGGCAAAGAGGGACUAUACUUCUCAGGUCCUGCAUUAGUUUUUGAGGGUGAAGAGUCCAUGAUUACAGCUAUCUCAGAAAACCCAGCAAAUUUCAAGGGAAAGGUAGUAGUGAUCCGAGGAGAAGGACCAAAAGGCGGGCCAGGGAUGCCCGAAAUGUUGACUCCAACAAGCGCAAUAAUGGGUGCUGGUCUUGGAAAGAACUCAGAAGAUGCACAAUUCUGGUUUCUUCUGCUCUCAGAAAUUGUUGAAUUUUCAAAGCGACGAGAGAUCUGCACAUUCUUAAAUACAAUACAAAGGAUCAGAUUUUCUUUGCCUACCCCCUUUAUAUUUGCAUUAUCUGGUGCUUCCUAAGUUUUGGUUCCUAGUUGCAUGUGUGCCUGGCAACUAUCCUCCUUUCAUCAGAUUAGUUAUUCUUCACUACAGUUGAUGUGAUAACCUCUUAACCAAUGCCCAAUCUCCAUUACAGGAGUGCGCCCUGCUGACAGAUGGUAGAUUUUCUGGAGGGUCACAUGGAUUUGUUGUCGGUCACAUAUGCCCUGAAGCACAGGAAGGUGGUCCAAUUGGCCUUGUCCAGAGUGGUGAUAUAAUCACCAUCGAUGUAAGUAAGAGGGUAAUCGAUGUUGACCUUACCGAACAGCAGCUCGAAGAAAGGCGGAGGAAAUGGACCCCACCGCCAUACAAGUCGACCAGUGGAGCUCUUUGGAAGUACAUCAAGCUUGUGGCUCCAGCGUCCAGAGGAUGCGUCACUGAUGAGUAGGCUGUGUUACAUUCUGUUAGGUUGUGCACAUGAUGUGUUUUCAAUCAAAGGCUGUUUGCCAGGAACAACCAUCCUGUUAGAGUGAUUCAUGAUAGUGCGGUUUGCGUAUGGCAGGUAUAAUAAUAAAAUGCCGGUUUCUAUUAGCUUAGCAAUGCUACAGAAGCUGCUGAAUAAUCGAGCGUAAUAUGUCUGUUUAAGCUUGUGAGCAAUCACAUCCUUUUCAGUCUCUCACUUGUUUUGUUUGUCC